UACGUAGGGCGCAAGCGUUGUCCGGAUUUAUUGGGCGUAAAGAGCUCGUAGGCGGUUUGUCGCGUCUUCCGUGAAAACUGGGGGCUUAACUUCCAGCUUGCGGUGGAUACGGGCUGACUGGAGUGCGGCAGGGAGACUGGAAUUCCUGGUGUAGCGGUGAAAUGCGCAGAUAUCAGGAGGAACACCGGUGGCGAAGGCGGGUCUCUGGCCGUUACUGACGCUGAGGAGCGAAGCCAGGGAGCAAACGGG
rnacentral:rRNA from 1 species